AAGUGUACACACCAAAGAGCACAGUAUAACGGAGCACUUAGGUAAGGGUAGACUGAGGUUAUGUAGGGGAGAGGGGUAUCCACCUAUCACAUACCAUUGGCUGAAAAGUGAUUAGUCCCUUUAAAAGAUUUUAAGUGUUCUGUCCCUUUAAGAGGCAGACUUUCGGGAAUUCACAUGCCUAGAAUCUGUGUUCACAUGUGGAUUCGGUUGGAGCUCCCUGCAAACCGUGGCGUUUUGUGGAGAGCUUCUGUACCAUGUACAGCAGGGAUGUUAGCGGUUUGUCCCUGUGGCCGAGUUUACCGGAGUCCUCAAGAGGGCUGAGAGGGAACAGCAGCAGCCACAAACAGAG